GAUGAACGCUGGCGGCGUGCCUAAUACAUGCAAGUAGAACGCUGAAGAGAGGAGCUUCCUCUUCUUGGAUGAGUUGCGAACGGGUGAGUAACGCGUAGGUAACCUGCCUUGUAGCGGGGGAUAACUAUUGGAAACGAUAGCUAAUACCGCAUAACAAUGGAUGACACAUGUCAUUUAUUUGAAAGGGGCAAUUGCUCCACUACAAGAUGGACCUGCGUUGUAUUAGCUAGUAGGUGAGGUAAUGGCUCACCUAGGCGACGAUACAUAGCCGACCUGAGAGGGUGAUCGGCCACACUGGGACUGAGACACGGCCCAGACUCCUACGGGGGGCAGCAGUAGGGAAUCUUCGGCAAUGGGGGCAACCCUGACCGAGCAACGCCGCGUGAGUGAAGAAGGUUUUCGGAUCGUAAAGCUCUGUUGUAAGUCAAGAACGGGUGUGAGAGUGGAAAGUUCACACUGUGACGGUAGCUUACCAGAAAGGGACGGCUAACUACGUG
rnacentral:rRNA from 1 species